GGGUUUGUAAUUCAGGGUAUGAGAUGGAAGAUGCAGAAAUCUCAACUCUUUCACCAUAGUUUCUAGAAGGUGAAAGAAUGACUUAUGACCUUCCAGUAUUGUGAUAGCUGACUAAUAGUGGUGAAGCUUCCAGAUGUGUAUUAUUUUUGAUAAGAUGAACAUUUAAGAUAGAGUGACCAUACAUAUCCUAAGAGAUAUGUCUGGAUACUGCUUAGUCAUAUUUAGAGGAAGAAAGAAG
rnacentral:lncRNA from 1 species